UGGCUACAAAAUAACUUAUUUUAUAGCCACUUUGAGUUACGAUAAUUACUAUAUUAAUUUACAAGAUUAUAGUAACUCCUUACUAAGUGGUUUACUAUAACAUUACGGUAAAUAUCCCCAUGUGUUAUAGUAACUCAACUAUCGUAAAUUAAUAUAUAAAAUUAUCGUAAAUGGAGGUGGCUACAGAAUAACAUAUUUUGUAGCUA
rnacentral:pre_miRNA from 1 species